rnacentral:rRNA from 1 species
UACGGGGGGGGCAAGCGUUGUUCGGAAUUACUGGGCGUAAAGGGCUCGUAGGUGGCCAACUAAGUCAGACGUGAAAUCCCUCGGCUUAACCGGGGAACUGCGUCUGAUACUGGAUGGCUUGAGUUCGGGAGAGGGAUGCGGAAUUCCAGGUGUAGCGGUGAAAUGCGUAGAUAUCAGGAGGAACACCGGUGGCGAAGGCGGUUCUCUGGGCCUGUUCUGACGCUGAGGAGCGAAAGCGUGGGGAGCGAACAGG